rnacentral:rRNA from 1 species
UGUCUCAAAGAUUAAGCCAUGCAUGUCUCAGCAUAAAUAAAUUCCAUUGUGAAGCCGCGAAUAGCUCAUUACAACAGCCAUAGUUCACUGGAUAUAUUACUCCUACAUGGAUAACCGUGGUAAUUCUACGGCUAAUACACGCUUCAAAACCCAACCUUACGGUGGGGUGCGUUUGUUACAACAAACCGAUCAGACCUCGGUCUGAAUCCAAGUGAUAUUGAACAAUUUAGCUGAUCGCACGGUCCAGAACCGGCGACAUAUCCUUCAAAUGUCUGCCUUAUCAACUGUCGAUGGUAGAUUAUGCGCCUACCAUGGUUGUAACGGGUAACGGAGAAUUAGGGUUUGAUUCCGGAGAGGGAGCCUGAGAAACGGCUACCACAUCCAAGGAAGGCAGCAGGCACGCAAAUUACCCACUCCCGGCACGGGGAGGUAGUGACGAAAAAUAACAAGUUGGUCUCAAUGAGUUCCGACAUUGUAAUGGGAACAAUUUAAAUCAUUUAUCGAGGAUCUAUUGGAGGGCAAGUCUGGUGCCAGCAGCUGCGGUAAUUCCAGCUCCAAUAGCGUAUAUUAAAGUUGUUGCGGUUGAAAAGCUCGUAGUUGGAUCUAGGACUAGGGCUAUGGUCGUUCAGCUUGGACGUACUGUACGCCCGACUCCUUUUCUCUAGUAUUCGAUUGUUGCUCUUAAAUGAGUGACUUUAGUUGCUAGAACUUUUACCUUGAAAAAAUUGAAGUGCUCAAAGCAGGUUUUUGCCUGAACAUUGCUGCAUGGGAUAAUUGAAUAGGAUUUCGGUUCUAUUUUAUUGGUUUCGGGACUCGGAAUAAUGAUUAAUAGGGACAGACGGGGGCAUUCGUAUUGCUGCGUUAGAGGUGAAAUUCUUGGAUCGCAGCAAGACGAACUACUGCGAAAGCAUUUGCCAAGAAUGUUUUCAUUAAUCAAGAACGAAAGUUAGAGGUUCGAAGGCGAUCAGAUACCGCCCUAGUUCUAACCGUAAACGAUGUUAACUAGCGAUCCGCAGAAGUUACUUUAACGGCUCUGCGGGAAGCUCCCGAGAAAUCUAAGUGUUCGAAUUCCGGGGGUAGUAUGGUUGCAAAGCUGAAACUUAAAGGAAUUGACGGAAGGGCACCACCAUGGAGUGGAGCUUGCGGCUUAAUUUGACUCAACGCGGGGAAACUCACUUGGUCAGGACACUGUUAGGAUUGACAGAUUGAAAGCUCUUUCUUGAUUCGGUGGAUGGUGGUGCAUGGCCGUUCUUAGUUGGUGGAGUGAUUUGUCUGGUUAAUUCCGAUAACGAACGAGACUCUAUCUUGCUAACUAGUCGCAUUCUUAUUCUGAAUGCUGAGCUUCUUAGAAGGACAGGGGGUCAUAACCCCACGAGAUUGAGCAAUAACAGGUCUGUGAUGCCC